AUCAGCGCUUACUCAUGCCGACCAAUCAGGAGAAUGGCGCGAACCCAGUUUGAAUAUGCGCUCCUUCUCCCAUUGGUCGGAAUGGACUUUCAAGCGGCCAGACCGACUCACAGCUCCAGAGAUUCCCUGCUGGCACGCGUUCCUCUCUCUGGUGUAUAUCCCCACACAGGUAUCCGUCGGAGAGAGUGUUCUCCUGGGUAGCUACAAGCCUAUCCUUGUAGCUGCCAGGUAGG